rnacentral:misc_RNA from 1 species
GUGAAUCAUCGAAUUUUUGAACGCAAAUUGCACUUUCUGGUAUUCCGGAAAGUAUGCCUGUUUGAGGGUCAGUUAAAUAAAAAUCGGUGAGGUUGCUGCCUUUCGGGGGUACGCGUCUGAAUGGGGUCGUCUUACCUUCGGUUAAGUUACUUAAAAUUUGUGCAUGAUUUUCGAACGUAUUUAAAUCGCUUACGUACGUUGUAGAUAUCGAAUACUGAUUAGUUUCGGU